rnacentral:rRNA from 1 species
AUUGAACGCUGGCGGCAGGCCUAACACAUGCAAGUCGAACGAGCGGCGGACGGGUGAGUAAUGUCUGGGAAACUGCCUGAUGGAGGGGGAUAACUACGGGAAACGGUGGCUAAUACCGCAUACCAUCAGAUGUGCCCAGAUGGGAUUAGCUUGGUGGUGGGGUAAAGGCACACCAAGGCGACGAUCCCUAGCUGGUCUGAGAGGAUGACCAGCCACUCUGGAACUGAACCACGCUCCAUACUCCUGCGUGAGGCAUCAUUGGAGAAUCUUGCACAAUGUGGGCAAUCCUGAUGCAGCCAUGACGCGUGUAUGAAGAAGGCCUUCGGGUUGUAAAGUCCUUUAAGCGGGGAGGCGUUACCCGCAGAAGAAGCACCGGCUAACUCCGUGCCAGCAGCCGCGGUAAUAC